rnacentral:rRNA from 1 species
UACAGAGGGGGCAAGCGUUGUCCGGAAUUACUGGGCGUACAGGGUGCGCAGGCGGCCGGUUAUGUGCCGAGUGACAAGUCCGCGCUUAACGCGGAAGGGUCUCGGUAGACAGGCAGGCUAGAGGCCUUGAGAGGGAAGUGGAAUGCCCGGUGGAGCGGUGAAAUGCGUAGAGAUCGGGCGGAACACCAGGGGCGCAGGCGGCUUCCUGGCAAGGACCUGACGCUGAGGCACGAAAGCGUGGGGAGCAAACGGG